GGCGAACGGGUGAGUAACACGUGGGCAAUCUGCCCUGCACUCUGGGACAAGCCCUGGAAACGGGGUCUAAUACCGGAUACUGACCCUCGCAGGCAUCUGCGAGGUUCGAAAGCUCCGGCGGUGCAGGAUGAGCCCGCGGCCUAUCAGCUAGUUGGUGAGGUAAUGGCUCACCAAGGCGACGACGGGUAGCCGGCCUGAGAGGGCGACCGGCCACACUGGGACUGAGACACGGCCCAGACUCCUACGGGAGGCAGCAGUGGGGAAUAUUGCACAAUGGGCGAAAGCCUGAUGCAGCGACGCCGCGUGAGGGAUGACGGCCUUCGGGUUGUAAACCUCUUUCAGCAGGGAAGAAGCGAAAGUGACGGUACCUGCAGAAGAAGCGCCGGCUAACUACGUGCCAGCAGCCGCGGUAAUACGUAGGGCGCAAGCGUUGUCCGGAAUUAUUGGGCGUAAAGAGCUCGUAGGCGGCUUGUCACGUCG
rnacentral:rRNA from 1 species